UUUCUUUGGGGGCCUUACCGCAGAAACAAGGAGAAAGCGAGUGACUUUUGUACACACCCGUGAGGCCUCCCCCGGUACAGUCCUCCUCAGUGAAGAAGAAAACCCACAGGCCUGAGAGAGCACUCAGGGCUGUUGCAGAUUUGAAAGAACUGUGUCAGGUGCAGCAGAAUGCUUCCAUACGAUCAACACAGCUCUUCUUGUGGUUGACAUAUCAAAAGGACAUUACAUAUAGUGAUGUAGUUUCGCAUGUCAUUCUAGUAUUUUUGUAGGUUUAGAUGUGCUAAGAAUGAAUUAAACAGUAAAAGCUGUACUGGUAUAUUUUACAAAGGCUGUGGGCUGAACUGCUGCCAUUAACACAUGAAGGAUAAGAGGGCAGGGGCAGAAAUGGGGUACGAACUGGAGAGAAAUUGAGUGUGCCAGAUAAUGUGCGUCUGGUCCUGCUGGGAAGAUGGGAAUAUUAGUGCUGGUAAUGGCAGUUUUUUGAGGUGCUGAUCAUCCCAGCAGGAAUAGUUAUCACCUCACACACUGCCACCCUGACUUGGCAGUGCUAGCAGUAGUGGUAAGGCCAGCUUUCCAGCAUUCUGGCACAGGCAGAGGGAGCACUGGACCACAGCCAUUUCACAGAGCCCAGCAACCUGCUGUCUUAAGCCACCACUUAGUUUGCUUACAGAGAAUCCUGCUUCUGACUGCGGCUCUGAGAAUUACCUGCUGUUACUCCUUCAGGAAGAGGAUCCCGAAAUCUACAGGCAGGAAGAUGAAAAGGCAGAAAUGCCAUAGAAACCAUAGAAUCUGUUAUGUUACAGAGGUUUUACAUCAGCAUCUGUUGUCACUACCAGGACCAGCACUGGUGCUCCACACUUCUCAGAGUUGCCUGUUUGAUUUUAGGAAGCUCAGCUGUGUAUCUGUUGAAGGAACUAGCAUGUGGAGGGCACAUCUCAGAUGCAGAGCUGUAUUUUGAUACAAUCACUUUGGGUAAUGUGGAAGAAGAUGCCAUGGGACAGUGGAUUCUAGAGAAGCAAGACUGCUGGAUUGCAGUUAAUGGCUUAACAACCUUUGUGUAUGCAGGAAGAUCUUGAUAUUUUCUUCCAGUCUAUGGAUAUAUCUCUUGUUUACUUAUUUUGUACUAACAAAAACAUAUGAAAAUUUCAAUUUGUGGUACUGCAAAUCUUCAACUAAGAAUGAAUGAAUGGAUUAAAAUUCAUCCACAUCUGUUGUUUCCAGAA